rnacentral:rRNA from 1 species
UACGGGGGGGGCAAGCGUUGUUCGGAAUUACUGGGCGUAAAGGGCUUGUAGGUGGCUCGCCAAGUCAGACGUGAAAUCCCUCAGCUUAACUGGGGAACUGCGUCUGAGACUGGCAAGCUUGAGUGCAGGAGAGGAACGCGGAAUUCCAGGUGUAGCGGUGAAAUGCGUAGAUAUCUGGAGGAACACCCGUAGCGAAGGCGGCACUCUGGGCCGGUACUGACGCUGAGGAGCGAAAGCGUGGGGAGCGAACAGG